AAAAGAAAAACCACUACAAAUCAUAACUCACUUGUAUGUCACAUCAGACCAAAUUUGGUAUAUGCCAGAUUUGGCAUAUUCCAUUUAUGGAAUUAUCCCACAAUAGAAUUAACACACCACACAAAAUAAAAUCACCACAGUAAUUAAUUUGAGAAGGGGUUCCCACUAGUCAUAGACACCAGGGGCCCGUAGUGCAUGACACGUGGGCCAGGCCCACUUGUUAGUGGCACAACUACAGAAC
rnacentral:lncRNA from 1 species